CCUACGGGAGGCAGCAGUGAGGAAUAUUGGUCAAUGGGCGCGAGCCUGAACCAGCCAAGUCGCGUGAGGGAGGACGGCCCUACGGGUUGUAAACCUCUUUUGCCGGGGAGCAACGGGCGCCACGUGUGGCGUCACUGAGAGUACCCGGAGAAAAAGAAUCGGCUAACUCCGUGCCAGCAGCCGCGGUAAUACGGGGGAUGCGAGGGUUAUCCGGAUUUAUUGGGUUUAAAGGGUGCGUAGGCGGAUCGUUAAGUCAGUGGUCAAAUUGAGGGGCUCAACCCCUUCCCGCCUUUGAACCUGGCGUUCGUGAGUGGGAGAGAAGUAUGCGGAAUGCGUGGUGUAGCGGUGAAAUGCAUAGAUAUCACGCAGAACCCCGAUUGCGAAGGCAGCAUGCCGGCUUCCGACUGACGCUGAAGCACGAAAGCGUGGGGAUCGAACAGGAUUAGAUACCCCAGUAGUC
rnacentral:rRNA from 1 species